CAAAUCCUUAGUAUUUCUAUUUUCUUUUCUACAACAGUAAACAUGGUAAAAUGACCCCUUCAAGGGCCUUGUCUGAGGGAUAACCUGAUAAUAACAAACAUAGGUCAAAGUACAGCCUUUUACACAGAGCUUUGAUCCUGACCAAACAGCAACCUAUAAGGGACCACAACUUAGUAUUGUACACAAUUCGAACAGGAAACC
rnacentral:lncRNA from 1 species